GCACUUCAAAAAUCACCAAAAGAACGGAAUUGACACACACAGCCCACCGCUGGCCGCCUAGCUUAGCCGGUCCCGCCGAGCACUCCCUUGAGCUUCUUCACCUCAGCAUCACUGAGAAAAGUGACCCCCUCCACCACUGACGACGGCAAAUUGUUCCCGAACAGUGCAAACGACGUGAUCUGCAGUCCAGGCUCAGGGUCGCUGAAGAAAGCAAUAGCCACUGCAGUCACCCCUCCAGCAUUCGCCUGAUAAUGCAGCAGCCCCUUGGGGAAGAGCAUCACUUCCCCCUUCUUAAGGAUCUUGGUGUAUACGGUAUUGGCUGAGGAGGAGAUGAAUCCGGC
rnacentral:misc_RNA from 1 species